rnacentral:rRNA from 1 species
UGCAAGUCGUGGGGCAGCAGGUCUGUAGCAAUACGGAUGCUGGCGACCGGCAAACGGGUGCGGAACACGUACACAACCUUCCUUUAAGUGGGGAAUAGCCCGGGGAAACCCGGAUUAAUACCCCGUAACAUAUAGAAGUGGCAUCGCUUUUAUAUUAUAGCAGCAAUGCGCUUGAAGAUGGGUGUGCGGCUGAUUAGAUAGUUGGCGGGGUAACGGCCCACCAAGUCGACGAUCAGUAACUGGUGUGAGAGCACGACCAGUCACACGGGCACUGAGACACGGGCCCGACUCCUACGGGAGGCAGCAGUAAGGAAUAUUGGUCAAUGGACGCAAGUCUGAACCAGCCAUGCCGCGUGGAGGAUGAAGGUCCUCUGGAUUGUAAACUUCUUUUAUUUGGGAAGAAAUCUAUCUUUUCUUGGAUAGUUGACGGUACCAGAUGAAUAAGCACCGGCUAACUCCGUGCCAGCAGCCGCGGUAAUACGGAGGGUGCAAGCGUUAUCCGGAUUCACUGGGUUUAAAGGGUGCGUAGGUGGGCAAGUAAGUCAGUGGUGAAAUCUCCGGGCUUAACCCGGAAACUGCCAUUGAUACUAUUUGUCUUGAAUACUGUGGAGGUCAGCGGAAUAUGUCAUGUAGCGGUGAAAUGCUUAGAUAUGACAUAGAACACCAAUUGCGAAGGCAGCUGGCUACACAAAUAUUGACACUGAGGCACGAAAGCGUGGGGAUCAAACAGGAUUAGAUACCCUGGUAGUCCACGCCCUAAACUAUGGAUACUCGACAUUUGCGAUAAACUGCAGUGUCUGAGCGAAAGCAUUAAG